CCUACGGGUGGCAGCAGUGGGGAAUAUUGGGCAAUGGGCGCAAGCCUGACCCAGCAACGCCGCGUGAAGGAAGAAGGCUUUCGGGUUGUAAACUUCUUUUCUCAGGGACGAAGCAAGUGACGGUACCUGAGGAAUAAGCCACGGCUAACUACGUGCCAGCAGCCGCGGUCAUACGUAGGGGGCAAGCGUUAUACGGCUUUACUGGGGGUAAAGGGCGUGUAGGCGGGAAAGCAAGUCAGAUGUGAAAACCAUGGGCUCAACCUGUGGCCUGCAUUUGAAACUGUUUUUCUUGAGUACUGGGGAGGCAGACGGAAUUCGUAGUGUAGCGGUGAAAUGCGUAGAUAUUAGGAGGAACACCAGUGGCGAAGGCGGUCUGCUGGCCAGCAACUGACGCUGAGGCGCGAAAGCGUGGGGAGCAAACAGGAUUAGAUACCCUUGUAGUC
rnacentral:rRNA from 1 species